CUCAGCCUCCCGAGUAGCUGGGGUUACAGUCAUGUGCUACCACGCCGGGCUAAUUUUUGUAUUUUUAGUAGAGACCGGGUUUCCCCAUAUUGGCCAGGCUGGUCUUGAACUCCUGACCUCAGGUGAUCUGCCCGCCUCGGGCUCCCAAAGUGCUGGGAUUACAGGUCUUAGCCACUGCGCCCAGCCAAGGCACUUUUAUUUAAAUUCUUCUGACUGCUGUUCAUGGCUUUCCCUAAUCUGCCUGAAGAUAUAUGACAUUGCAUAUCUCAAGUAAGACAGUUAUUCCAUCCCGAAAUACAGCCCAUUCCUUGUUAUCACUGUGAGAAGUGACAACGUGCUAGCAGCACUGGCUCGCUCUGGGCGCCUCCUCCGCUUGGCGUCCGCUCUGGCCUCGCUCGAGGAGCCCUUCAGCCUUCUGCUGCACUAUGAAGGCCCCUCUCUGGGGCUGGCAGAGGCCCAGCCGGCUCCCUCUGUUCGCGGGGAAGUGUGAAGAAGACAGGCACGGGGCGGGGGGUGGUGUGUGCCGGGGCUGCG
rnacentral:lncRNA from 1 species